rnacentral:rRNA from 1 species
UACGUAGGAGACGAGCGUUGUCCGGAGUUACUGGGCGUAAAGGGUGCGCAGGUGGCGGCGCGCGUGGGGGGUGAAAUCGCCCGGCUUAACUGGGCGGGGGCCUUCCAGACGGCGUGGCUUGAGCAGCGGAGGGGGACGUGGAAUUCCGGGUGGAGCGGUGAAAUGCGUAGAGAUCCGGAGGAACACCAAAGGCGAAGGCAGUGUCCUGGGGAGUACCUGACGCUCAGGUGCGAAAGCCAGGGGAGCGAACGGG